CGUCAAUCAUCAUGCCCUUAUGACCUGGGCUACACACGUGCUACAAUGGUUGGUACAACGAGUUGCGAGUCGGUGACGGCGAGCUAAUCUCUUAAAGCCAAAUCUCAGUUCGGAUUGUAGGCUGCAACUCGCCUACAUGAAGUCGGAAUCGCUAGUAAUCGCGGAUCAGCACGCCGCGGUGAAUACGUUCCCGGGCCUU
rnacentral:rRNA from 1 species